GACGAACCGUGCAAACGUUGUUCGGAAUCACUGGGCUUAAAGGGCGCGUAGGCGGGCAGGCAAGUCGAAGGUGAAAUCCCACGGCUCAACCGUGGAAGUGCCCCCGAUACUGCCUGUCUCGAGGGAGAUAGGGGCGUGCGGAACUUCCGGUGGAGCGGUGAAAUGCGUAGAUAUCGGAAGGAACACCGGUGGCGAAAGCGGCGCGCUGGACUCUCUUCUGACGCUGAUGCGCGAAAGCCAGGGGAGCAAAGCGGGAUUAAGAUGACCCUGGUAGUACCCCAGGA
rnacentral:rRNA from 1 species